GAUGAACGCUGGCGGCGUGCUUAACACAUGCAAGUCGAACGGAAAGGCCAGUGCUUGCACUGGUACUCGAGUGGCGAACGGGUGAGUAACACGUGGGUGAUCUGCCCUGCACUUCGGGAUAAGCCUGGGAAACUGGGUCUAAUACCGGAUAGGACAAUGGUUUGGAUGCCGUUGUGGAAAGUUUUUUCGGUGUGGGAUGAGCUCGCGGCCUAUCAGCUUGUUGGUGGGGUAAUGGCCUACCAAGGCGUCGACGGGUAGCCGGCCUGAGAGGGUGUACGGCCACAUUGGGACUGAGAUACGGCCCAGGCUCCUACGGGAGGCAGCAGUGGGGGAUAUUGCACAAUGGGCGCAAGCCUGAUGCAGCGACGCCGCGUGGGGGAUGACGGCCUUCGGGUUGUAAACUCCUUUCGCUAGGGACGAAGCGUAUUUGUGACGGUACCUGGAGAAGAAGCACCGGCUAUCUACGUG
rnacentral:rRNA from 1 species